AUUUUUUUUAACCCCACAAAGAAUAGCUGAUAACAGAGGGAUACUGUUUGACCAGUGAAUCGGUAAUCCAUCUAUUCGUUUUGCGUACACACUGAAAUGUUAAUCAAUGAUACAAUCGAUGGAGGAGUUAUCUUAUGUACAAGCAGGAAAAAGUUCCCGUUGGAUGAAUGUAAACAGGAUCAUAAAAUAAAUUUUACAGGA